GGGAAAUUAGCGCAGUUGGUUAGCGCGUAGGUCUCAUACCUAAUGAAGGUCGAUCAUCGACUUGCAAUCCUAAGGUCGCCGGUUCGAAUCCGGCAUUUCCCA
rnacentral:tRNA from 1 species